AUUGAACGCUGGCGGCAGGCUUAACACAUGCAAGUCGAGCGCGCGGCGGACGGGUGAGUAAUGUCUGGGAAACUGCGUGAAGGAGGGGGAUAAAUACUGGCAAAGGUAGCUAAUACCGCAUACCAGAAGAUGUGCCCAGAUGGGAUGAGCUAGUAGGUGGGGGAAUGGCUCACCUAGGCGACGAUCCCUAGCUGGUCUGAGAGGAUGACCAGCCACACUGGAACUGAGACACGGUCCAGACUCCUACGGUAGGCAGCAGUGGGGAAUAGUGCACAAUGGGCGCAAGCCUGAUGCAGCCAUGCCGCGUGUGUGAAGAAGGCCUUCGGGUUGUAAAGCACUUUCAGUGAGGAGGCGUUACUCGCAGAAGAAGCACCGGCUAACGCAGGGCCAGCAGCCGCGGUAAUAC
rnacentral:rRNA from 1 species